rnacentral:rRNA from 1 species
GUGGGGAAUAUUGGACAAUGGGCGCAAGCCUGAUCCAGCCAUGCCGCGUGAGUGAUGAAGGCCCUAGGGUUGUAAAGCUCUUUCACCGGUGAAGAUAAUGACGGUAACCGGAGAAGAAGCCCCGGCUAACUUCGUGCCAGCAGCCGCGGUAAUACGAAGGGGGCUAGCGUUGUUCGGAAUUACUGGGCGUAAAGCGCACGUAGGCGGACAUUUAAGUCAGGGGUGAAAUCCCGGGGCUCAACCCCGGAACUGCCUUUGAUACUGGGUGUCUGGAGUAUGGAAGAGGUAAGUGGAAUUCCGAGUGUAGAGGUGAAAUUUGUAGAUAUUCGGAGGAACACCAGUGGCGAAGGCGGCUUACUGGUCCAUUACUGACGCUGAGGUGCGAAAGCGUGGGGAGCAAACAGGAUUAGAUACCCGAGUAGUCC